rfam:Ochotona princeps cont2.55296, whole genome shotgun sequence.
UUCCUUCCACCGUCACCCCGGAACCCCACGGCAGCUCAUACAAGACGCCAAAAAUGUUUGGAGGAAGAAAAACAAAGGCAGGAAGUGGCGGCGGCCUGACGGUGCGCACGCGUGUAUCUCCGCAGAAGGGAGGGAGACGGUUCCAGUCUCCUUGUUUUUCCAAACUUCAAGGUCUAGGCCG